rnacentral:rRNA from 1 species
AAAUGUGAUGUAUAGGUUGUGCUCUUUGACAGUGGCGUCUGCUCCAAAUUUGCUUGAAUGCAAUUCAGUCCGAAGAAGGUGAAAGACCUGUGGGUGCAGACAAAGCUGUUGUUGAUGCUUCCGAUGAGUCGGGUUGUUUGGGAAUGCAGCCCAAAUUGGGUGGUAAACUCCAUCUAAGGCUAAAUACUUGUACGAGUCCGAUAGCGAACAAGUACCGUGAGGGAAAGUUGAAAAGAACUUUGAAGAGAGAGUUAAAUAGUACGUGAAAUUGCUUAGAGGUAAACGAGCAGAGCCGAAGCUGGUGUAUGGAAUUCAGUUUGCUGGAGUUUGGAUCUGGUUGGUUGAAAUCAGUAAAACGAUUCGACCUUCUUGCUGACAGAAUCCGGUAGAUGCACUUUCCACACAUCAAUACUGCGAGCGGUAAUGAUGAUUUUCUGUCGUAGCAAUAAAGGUGGUCUGGUUUUUUAAACUGGAUUUUAUAGUUUGCUGCGCGGUUGAUCAGGAUACCGGUGAAAGCAGACGGUUAAUUCUAGCAGUGCUUCAUAGAGAUUGUCAAGGAGUGGACUUCAAGUAAGAUCGCUUCGUGACAGUCUGUAUGGAGUGUUGUCGGAGGACCGUCUUAAACUCUGCAGUGCAUAUGUAGGUUAUCUGCUUGUCCCGUCUUGAAACACGGACCAAGGAGUUUUAUAUGAUCGCGAGUCAACGGGUGAAAAACCCCAAGGCGAAAUGAAAGUAAAGGCUUGCAUUGGUAAGCUGACAUGUGACCUGGUGUCUUCGGAUUAUCUGUGCAACAUGGACCCGUCUAAAGGUGUUCGCAUCUGGGCGGAGUUAGAGCGAUCAUGUAGAGACCCGAAAGAUGGUGAACUAUGCUUGAGCAGGUUGAAGUCAGGGGAAACUCUGAUGGAGGACCGCAGCGAUUCUGACGUGCAAAUCGAUCGUCGGACUUGAGUAUAGGGGCGAAAGACUAAUCGAACCAUCUAGUAGCUGGUUCCCUCCGAAGUUUCCCUCAGGAUAGCUGGCGCUUGUUAUUCAGUUAUAUUCGGUCAAGCGAAUGAUUAGAAGUAUUGGGGACGAAAUGUUCUCAACUUAUUCUCAAACUUUAAAUGGGUAUGAAAAACGGCUCGCUUCACUGGAGUCGUUUCGAUCGAAUGAAAGUGCCUAGUGGGCCAUUUUUGGUAAGCAGAACUGGCGAUGUGGGAUGAACCAAACAUCCGGUUAAGGUGCCUAACAAGAUGCUCAUCAGAUACCACAAAAAGGUGUUGGUUGAUAAAGACAGCAGGACGGUGGACAUGGAAGUCGUCAUCCGCUAAGGAGUGUGUAACAACUCACCUGCCGAAUCAACCAGCCCUGAAAAUGGAUGGCGCUGUAGCAUCUGACCUAUACCGGAUCGGCAGGGUAAGCUGUAUUAAGCAGUGAGUAAGCCUUGUCGUGUAGGAGGGUGCCAUGGUUGCUAAGAAGCUAUCGACGUGAGUCGAAGUGGAGCGGCCA